rnacentral:rRNA from 1 species
GACGAACGCUGGCGGCGUGCCUAAUACAUGCAAGUAGAACGCUGAAGAGAGGAGCUUGCUCUUCUUGAAUGAGUUGCGAACGGGUGAGUAACGCGUAGGUAACCUGCCUUGUAGCGGGGGAUAACUAUUGGAAACGAUAGCUAAUACCGCAUAACAAUGGGUGACACAUGUCAUUUAUUUGAAAGGGGCAAUUGCUCCACUACAAGAUGGACCUGCGUUGUAUUAGCUAGUAGGUGAGGUAACGGCUCACCUAGGCGACGAUACAUAGCCGACCUGAGAGGGUGAUCGGCCACACUGGGACUGAGACACGGCCCAGACUCCUACGGGAGGCAGCAGUAGGGAAUCUUCGGCAAUGGGGGCAACCCUGACCGAGCAACGCCGCGUGAGUGAAGAAGGUUUUCGGAUCGUAAAGCUCUGUUGUAAGUCAAGAACGAGUGUGAGGGGGGAAAGUU